GACGAACGCUGGCGGUGUGCUUAACACAUGCAAGUCGAACGGAAAGGCCCUGCUUUUGUGGGGUGCUCGAGUGGCGAACGGGUGAGUAACACGUGAGUAACCUGCCCUUGACUUUGGGAUAACUUCAGGAAACUGGGGCUAAUACCGGAUAGGAGCUCCUGCUGCAUGGUGGGGGUUGGAAAGUUUCGGCGGUUGGGGAUGGACUCGCGGCUUAUCAGCUUGUUGGUGGGGUAGUGGCUUACCAAGGCUUUGACGGGUAGCCGGCCUGAGAGGGUGACCGGCCACAUUGGGACUGAGAUACGGCCCAGACUCCUACGGGAGGCAGCAGUGGGGAAUAUUGCACAAUGGGCGGAAGCCUGAUGCAGCAACGCCGCGUGCGGGAUGACGGCCUUCGGGUUGUAAACCGCUUUGGCCUGUGACGAAGCGUGAGUGACGGUAAUGGGUAAAGAAGCACCGGCUAACUACGUG
rnacentral:rRNA from 1 species